ACUUUGGUAGUCCAUUGGCUAAGACUCUGCACUCCCAAUGCAGGGGGCCCAGGUUCAAUCCCUGGUCAGGGAG
rnacentral:tRNA from 1 species